GACGAACGCUGGCGGCGUGCUUAACACAUGCAAGUCGAACGGAAAGGCCCUGCUUUUGUGGGGUGCUCGAGUGGCGAACGGGUGAGUAACACGUGAGUAACCUGCCCUUUACUUUGGGAUAACUUCAGGAAACUGGGGCUAAUACCGGAUAGGAGCUCCUGCUGCAUGGUGGGGGUUGGAAAGUUUCGGCGGUUGGGGAUGGACUCGCGGCUUAUCAGCUUGUUGGUGGGGUAGUGGCUUACCAAGGCUUUGACGGGUAGCCGGCCUGAGAGGGUGACCGGCAACAUUGGGACUGAGAUACGGCCCAGACUCCUACGGGAGGCAGCAGUGGGGAAUAUUGCACAAUGGGAGGAAGCCUGAUGCAGCAACGCCGCGUGCGGGAUGACGGCCUUCGGGUUGUAAACCGCUUUCGCCUGUGACGAAGCGUGAGUGACGGUAAUGGGUAAAGAAGCACCGGCUAACUACGUG
rnacentral:rRNA from 1 species